rnacentral:rRNA from 1 species
UGCAAGUCGAGCGGUAGAGAGAAGCUUGCUUCUCUUGAGAGCGGCGGACGGGUGAGUAAUGCCUAGGAAUCUGCCUGGUAGUGGGGGAUAACGUUCGGAAACGGACGCUAAUACCGCAUACGUCCUACGGGAGAAAGCAGGGGACCUUCGGGCCUUGCGCUAUCAGAUGAGCCUAGGUCGGAUUAGCUAGUUGGUGAGGUAAUGGCUCACCAAGGCGACGAUCCGUAACUGGUCUGAGAGGAUGAUCAGUCACACUGGAACUGAGACACGGUCCAGACUCCUACGGGAGGCAGCAGUGGGGAAUAUUGGACAAUGGGCGAAAGCCUGAUCCAGCCAUGCCGCGUGUGUGAAGAAGGUCUUCGGAUUGUAAAGCACUUUAAGUUGGGAGGAAGGGCAGUUACCUAAUACGUGAUUGUUUUGACGUUACCGACAGAAUAAGCACCGGCUAACUCUGUGCCAGCAGCCGCGGUAAUACAGAGGGUGCAAGCGUUAAUCGGAAUUACUGGGCGUAAAGCGCGCGUAGGUGGUUAGUUAAGUUGGAUGUGAAAUCCCCGGGCUCAACCUGGGAACUGCAUUCAAAACUGACUGACUAGAGUAUGGUAGAGGGUGGUGGAAUUUCCUGUGUAG